rnacentral:lncRNA from 1 species
CCGCUCUUUAGAGCCAAGUUGUGUGACACCUGAGAAAAUUCCCUUCACCUUCUUUUUGGACCCAAAGUGGUGCGGCCGUGUGGGAACAUCUGCCUCGUGGCCGUGGAUCAAAUGUUAGCCAAUUUUUUAAAAAAAUCAAUCUAGCCCUCAGGCUAUCCCCAGGAAUGGCUGCAGGUUCACAGGUUCUGAAGGUUGUUUCCGACAAGAUGCUCCACCUACAGUUUCUGCAGAAAACCAAGGUUAGCCUCACCCAGGAACUGGGAGUCCAGGGUAUAUUUUGGCAACCGCUUUCGAGAUCUGGGUGCGUGUGUUCAGCAUUUGGGCCAUUUGAUUUCUCACAAAAUGAAACACGCGGAGUGUGGCUUCUCCUGCUUAGUUACGGACUGCCUCCAUACUUCGAACACCUUGACCACCUGUCCAGCAUUUCCCCAUCUCUUCACAGCUGCUGGGAUUUGGUGCAUUGUACCCGUUCGGCUGAAAACAGCGUGGGCUAAGUGGCUCUGAGGUGUUUGAGAAAGACUAGGAUUCAUGAGAAGUGUGGAACCCAAGUGCGGUUGAGAUGGUCAUGGGAGGACUAUGAAUCUCUUAAUGUCACGUCACCAACUGUAGUGGGUUGAAUGGUGAGCCCCCAAAAGACACGUCUACCUUCUAGCUUUUAGAACCUGCAGAUGAGAAGACAGAUACAAGGAGGAGAGGAGAAAGCUGUGUGAAGACAGAGGCAGAGACUGGAGUGACGCAGCCACAAGUCAGGGAACACCUGAAGCCACCAGAAGCUGGAAGAGGCAAGGAAAGAUUCUCCCCUAGAGGCUUUGGCCCCGCCUGACACCUUGAUAUUGGACUUGUGGCCUGGAGAACAGAAUAAAUUUAGGUUGUCUUAAGCCACCAAGUUUGAGGUCAUUCGUUACAGCAGCCAUCAGAAAGUAACCCACCACUAUCUCUUCUCAUUGAGAAGAUACGUUCACUAGAGUCCAUGCCCUGCUUAGAACACCAUGACAUUACACUCUUG